AGAGUGACAUUGGUGUAGGGCCCUUCGCCCAUAUCACAGAACAUGGAGCACCAUGAGACAUGACAUCAGUGACCAGUGAAUCUACUGUAUGUGCCAUGGGUAAGAAAAUAUUUCUUUUUCUAUUAUAUUGAUAUUCAUCCUUGCUCUGGGCCCUUGUUUUCCAGGUUUGAGAUAUGAUAUGGACUCAUCUUCAUAGUCUGAGAACAGGAGGCUCACUGAUGGGGGAGUUUGUGAUUAGGUUGUAAGACCUGGCAACUUCCUCUGUCCCAUUACUUUCUGCCCAGAUGUAUACUGUGAUGGCAGCCUUUGGAUGAAGAGCUCAUGGAGGAUUUUGUCCAUUUCUUGUGUUAGUUUGUGUGUAUACAUAUAAUUUACUAAGAUAAAAGUCAGCUACUGGAGGACAGGCUUUUCUAUGCCCAGCACCUAAAACCCUGAAUGGGGUACCUGAUUCUUAACAAAUGAUUACUGCUUCAUUUUCCAUUUAACCUGAGCAGAUAUCUAUCCAGCAGUUUGUCUGAGCCACACGCCUUAUCUCAUCUGAGGGCAAGAUGACAGGACAGAUCCAUCUAUAUAUCAGUCUCAGCUUAUUUAAUACUUUCUCAUGGUGGCCAUUCACCCUAGAGCACAAGGAGAUCCUAAUUCCUGUCACAGUCUUUUUGUUUUGAAAGGGCUUGUCAGGGAGAAGGUGCUAAUGUGAGGGGUUGGGGAUUGGUUGCUCUUCUCAGAAAGUUCAAAAUCCUCACAGGCUCUGGGGAUCUCUGUCCAAAUGACUCCAAACUUCCCCCAUCAACUCUUAGGCAUACUUCAACUAACUGCUUUGGUCACAGGAUUCUCUACUGAGACUUCAGGGACACUGAAGAAAGUGAGUGGAUCUGACCAGGGAAGAGAACCAACAAACUCCACCAGUAUCCCUAUGACUGGCUUUAUCGGGAGAGAUUCCAUUGAUGACACUGAAAAGGACAUACGUGUCAUGGAGACAACUCCAAGAGCCACAGCCACUCAAGACCUACUUCUCACUGUGCCCACUGGAGAAGGUGACCUCAUCCCUGGGAUGCACAGGAGAACUGUGUCCUCUCCCACCAAAACCUCAGUUCCAUCUGAGAUAUCCUCUGGAGUCACCAUUGCCAUUGCAAGGACCUCACUCUCCAUGACUCCAGUAGAAAUCACAGCUAGGUCCGGCUACAGUGCUCCCUUAAACAUCAGCCUAAGCACAAGAACAGCUUCCCUUGAGCCUGCUACUUCGUUGGAGGACCCAAGGCCAGCCGGCCUGACUCCAGAAACUGAGAGAAACCCACAGGCAACACCAACUCCAGCUAUCACCCUGCCUCCAGCCAGCACACAGGAAGUUUGCACAACAGCAUCUCCCAGUCCUCCUGACACAACCACAGAGGGCAGCAGUGUCCAGGCAGGGACAGCCUCUGUUUCUGAUCAGGUGCCUUCCACUUCCAGCCUCUUCCCAAGAGGUGAUGCUGGUGUGUUGCCAGUCACACAUGCCCAAGGCCAUGAUGCACCAGGAAGCACAGUAGCACCAAUAAGUAGCCCCCUGACCCCUGUGUCUACUAUUAUUCCCUCAGGUAAGUAG
ensembl:lncRNA